UACGUAGGGUGCAAGCGUUGUCCGGAAUUAUUGGGCGUAAAGAGCUCGUAGGCGGUUUGUCGCGUCUGCUGUGAAAACUCAGGGCUUAACCCUGAGCCUGCAGUGGGUACGGGCAGACUAAAGUGGUGGUAGGGGGAGAUCGGAAUUCCUGGUGUAGCGGUGGAAUGCGCAGAUAUCAGGAGGAACACCGGUGGCGAAGGCGGGUCUCUGGGCCAUUACUGACGCUGAGGAGCGAAAGCGUGGGGAGCGAACAGG
rnacentral:rRNA from 1 species